GUGUCCAUGUUAACUCUAUCGGCUACCAAAUAACUAUAAUCGAUAGAAAGAGAUAUACAUUUUAGCUGGUUAUAAUUAUGAUUACAAAACGAGAUCACUGUCCAUCAACCUCCACCUAUAAUAGUACCAGAAAAUUGAAAUCUCUUCAAAACAAUUGUCAAGAUAUUCGGCGCCUCAUGUAUGCUCAACUACGUCCGUGCUCUAACAUAUGCAGCACACCUGAAAACAUUGUGUCCCGUUUUCCACCAACUUUUACAUCAUAAUAAGAAAAUUUAAGGGAGGAACAAACAACAUCUUUAUUAUUACGAACAAUGAUUCACAAAACAUAUUGGACUCAUCUGCAAUUUGUCCCUUCCUCUCCAUUUUUGAACAUAGCUGCCCUCUUGACUCCUUCAUCAUUGAUUUUGGUGAUUUAGACAUUUUG